CAUUGAUCAAAUACUUGGAACGAAAAAUAACAUUGAUAGUUAGUAUUAAAUACCACUAUUGAUAACUAAUAUUAUUGUGUUACUAGCUAAAAUAUUAUUGUAUGUAUAAUAAUGAUAUCUGUACUGAGAUUUGUUUUUUGUUUCUAACAAUUAUUUUAAUGACAGGAUAUUUUGUGACACCAACGAUGUCUGCCCUGUGUAAUUGUAACAGAAUUAUAAUACCUCAUAUGUGUUGGAAAAAAUGUGGAAAGAAAGGAUAAAUUUUUACACUUCCAUCUCCAUUAUGUAACAGGAUUAUAAUAUAACCAAUUUCGUUUCUUUA